rnacentral:rRNA from 1 species
GACGAACGCUGGCGGCAGGCCUAACACAUGCAAGUCGAACGAGUGGCGGACGGGUGAGUAAUGUCUGGGAAACUGCCCGAUGGAGGGGGAUAACUACUGGAACCGGUAGCUAAUACCGCAUACCAUCGGCUUUGCCCAGAUGGGGUUAGCUAGUAGGUGGGGUAACGGCUCACCUAGGACACGAUCCCUAGCUGGUCUGAGAGGAUGACCGGCCACAUUGGGACUGAGACACGGUCCAGACUCCUACGGGAGGCAGCAGUGGGGAAUAUUGCGCAAUGGGCGCAAGCCUGAGGCAGCCAUGCCGCGUGUAUGAAGAAGGCCUUCGGGUUGUAAAGUACUUUCAGCGAGGAGGCGUUACUCGCAGAAGAAGCACCGGCUAACUCCGUGCCAACAGCCGCGGUAAUUC